GAGGGUAUAACUCAGUGGUAGAGUGCACACCUAGCAUGCAUGAGGUCCUGAGUUCAAUUCCUUGUACCUUUA
rnacentral:tRNA from 1 species